GAUGAAGAACGUAGCGAAAUGCGAUAAGUAAUGUGAAUUGCAGAAUUCCGUGAAUCAUCGAAUCUUUGAACGCACAUUGCGCCCCCUGGUAUUCCGGUGGGCAUGCCUGUCCGAGCGUCAUUGCAACCCUCAAGCGCGGCUUGUGUGUUGGGCUUCGUCCCCCCGUGGACGUGCCCGAAAGGCAGUGGCGGCGUCCCGAAUGGUGCCCGAGCGUAUGGGAACUCUCUUCCGCUCGAACCGGCCCAUUCGGCGCUGGUCGAACCCCAAUUUUUUUUUACCGGUUGACCUCGGAUCAGGUAGGGAUACCCGCUGAACUUAAGCAUAUCAAUAAGCGGAGGA
rnacentral:misc_RNA from 1 species